rnacentral:rRNA from 1 species
UACGAAGGUGGCAAGCGUUACUCGGAAUUACUCGGCGUAAAGGGCAGGUAGGUGGUUUGGUUAGUCUGUUGUGAAAGCUCCUUGCUUAACGGGGAGAGGUCAACAGAUACUGCCAGGCUUGAGUAUGGGAGAGGGUACUGGAAUUCCCGGUGUAGCGGUGAAAUGCGCAGAGAUCGGGAGGAACACCAAUGGCGAAAGCAGGUACCUGGACCAUUACUGACACUCAGCUGCGAAAGCUAGGGGAGCAAACAGG